GUGCCAGCCGCCGCGGUAAGACAGAGGGUGCAAACGUUGUUCGGAAUUACUGGGCGUAAAGCGUGUGUAGGCGGUCCACUAAGUCGGGUGUGAAAGCCCUGGGCUCAACCCAGGAAGUGCACUCGAAACUGGCGGGCUAGAGUAUCGGAGAGGUUGGUGGAAUUCUCGGUGUAGAGGUGAAAUUCGUAGAUAUCGAGAGGAACACCGGUGGCGAAGGCGGCCAACUGGACGAAUACUGACGCUGAGACACGAAAGCGUGGGGAGCAAACAGGAUUAGAAACCCGUGUAGUCC
rnacentral:rRNA from 1 species